CUUUCUUCCUCUAUCAGUCUUUCAUCCAUUUUCCUUUUCGUGAUAAUGUAGUGAGAAAACAAAUUAUUGCACUGCAUCAUUCUUUACUCACUUUUCUUUUGACUAUAUAUGUUACUAAUAUUUUUAGUUUUUAAUUAAUUGGUGGAAUUCUCUGGUGGGCAUGCUUUGUUUGGUAUUCACAUUCUUGUUGACUUAUUCUUCUGAUAAAGUUUACUUGCUUUAGAAGGAGCACAAUCAUAGAAGAAAACUUGAAAAGUGUGAGUGAGAUCCAUUUCUUUAGGAACUCUUCCGAGCGAUGUCAGUUUUAGGUUUCGAUUAUUUAGUUUUGUAAUUUAGAGUCUUUUUUUUUUAAGUUUUAGUUUCUAAAUUUGAAGUCCAAAGCACAUAAAUCAGUCACGAUUUGUAAUUCUGAGUUAAUUGGGUGAGAUAGAGGUGGCCAUAGUGGCAGUGGCAGUAAUGGUGGUUGUUGUUUUGGAUGGGUAUUUUUCAGAUUGAUAAAGUAAGUUAUAUGGUUUACCCCUAAGGACCGAAAAUCAAAGCUACUUUUAGUUCAAGGAAUUGAAUUAAAAGUGUUUCCAAUUUGCAUUCAAAAAAGGCAAAAAACUGAAAACUUAUGACAUCCCUGAAUAGGCCUUAGCUCAAUCUUCUUUAGCAAUUGUCUGUGUUGUUUGGGUUAAAUGAUAUUUGGACCAGUGAUAUUUUGUUUAAUGGUAUGAUUCAUUCAUUAGUUUAAGAUGGAGAAAAUUGAAGGCAUGAUGAAGAAAACUGAAGGCAUGGUGAUAGAUAAACUAGGGUAAGCUAAAGCUAUCAAAAAAUAAGAAACAGGCUAAAAUUGUAUUUCAUUUGUGUCCCACACUUGUACAAGCCUGAUUGUACUGGAUGAAGACCAUUAGCCGAGAGGGCCUUUUGACACUUCAUUUGGGCCUGUCUGCCUCCUCAUUGGGCUUGCUAACACAUGGAGAUGAUAUUCUACUUGCUUUGGUGGAAAAUCCCAAUCUGAUAUCAGCCACAAGUUCUUUUAAGGCUAACCCAGAGAGGAAGUUCUUGGCAUCUGAUGAGUCUGGUUCAGAGAGAUCAAAGUGGGUUUAUAUAUUCCAGAAAGAAUAUGCUACAGUUGACCCUACCCUCGUUGAUUUUGUUGGCACUGAUGAAGCAACAACGUGCGUUGGCCUUGUUAUUCGGAACAAAAAAACUAGAAUGACAUCAGUUGCUCAUAUGGAUUCGCCAAAAAUUGUAGAAAUUGGCCUUUCCCAAAUGUUAUCAUCACUUGUUGCAAACAGUCUGGAGACCGAGUUCGAAGUGCAUCUCAUAGGGGGGUUUGAAGACGUGUCACUGCAACAAGGAAAUGGUAGUGCAGUAUCAGAAAGCCCUGCAUAUUUGGAUGGUUAUUCCUUUCCUUUGUGUUCAAAGAUUGUUCAUACUCUAUGGUCAAGAGAUGAGAAGUUUCACCUCCAAACGUUCUGUGUUCUUGGACAUAAUACCAGAAGAGAUUCUGAUGGAAACACAUACCCCUUUUUCAAUGGAUUUGUGGUGGAGACUGCAUCAGGUAUUGUCAUCCCAGCUAUUUUUGAUAGAACUUCUAGAUGUCCAGAUGAGCUUGUCAGAAGAAUACGAGUAUCUGUUUCUUAUGAAGAUGCGAAUUGGAAAGAAAAGUUACUAGAAACAUAUGAUUGUGGCUCUGACUGUUUCAAAAUUGCUCCUUGUCGCUGGACUCUUCGUCAAUAUCAUAUUGCUCUUUCACUUCUGAACUGUUCUGAUUUGGAAAUUCUUUCAACAUGUUCAACUUCACCUACUGCUGAGGCGCCAGAUUUUGUGGAUAAUUUACGAAGUGGACUUAUUUGAUUGUGCACCCACACUGGACAGAAACUUUUCCUAUGAAGCAGCCGCGCACUUUUGCUAGAAGUUCUGAUGGAAAGUGGAUAAGGUGUUAAUGACAUUCCAAGCUAAUGAAUAUGUUGAAAAACUUUAUGCAUUCAUGAUGUAUUGAAGAAUGCAGAUGGCAACAUCCAAAUCACUAUCACAAGGAGCAUUGAGGAAUUAAUUUAUCACACUGAUUAUAAAUGUGAUGUUUGGCCUAGUAAUUAAGAUAGUUCAGUCUUCACACAAGUUGAGUUUUCACACUUUUUCUAUUUACCACCAAAGAGUUCGAGAUUAUGAUCAUAGAAGUGUCACUAGGUAGCAAUCAAGCUGUUAAUAUCAAGUGUAUUUAAAUCAUACUUUCUCUAUGAAAUGACUACCAAAGAAGGAUUGAAAAAUAUCAACGGCCAAGAAAUGA